AACCUAGCACACCUGCGGUGUGUACCUGCGGAGGGAUCAUUACAGAGUUCAUGCCCUCACGGGUAGAUCUCCCACCCUUGUGUAUCUCUUGUUUUUGUUGCUUUGGCAGGCCGUUAGCUCGCCUAACCACCGGCUCUCGGGCUGGUGCGCGCCUGCCGGAGGACCUCCCAAACUCUGUUUGUUAGUGUCGUCUGAGUACUAUAACAAUCGUUAAAACUUUUAACAACGGAUCUCAGAUCG
rnacentral:misc_RNA from 1 species